CAAGUGUCUUUAUACUUGAUGGGAAAUGUUUACUGUUGUGCCGUGAUUUGUGUAUUAUCGUGUGGAAAAAGCGUCGGUCCCACAUUUUCUUAUAGAAAUAUUCCACGAUGAGUGUGCUCAGCCAUGUAAUGAAAUUCGAACAGAUGACAAAAAUCCCGUUGGAUUACGAAAAAUAUAAUGACCAACCCGCGGAGCCUUACGAGAUGAAUGUUUUGAGUCAAGUAAUAAGCAACGAGCAGAUGACGAAGAUUACAUCAGGAUUUCGGAGAUUAGGUGGUAAGUCUGUAAUAUGCAUUGCAU